GUCUAUUCUAUAAAUGGUCUAAGAUUGCAGUUCUGCAUCUGAUCACUUUUUUGUUUGUUUACUGUUUAGAACUCGCCAUUUUCGUUUUCUUUACUGACAUUUGAAACUUGGACAAAUUGAAAUCUUCGAAAUAUUAUCACUGAAAUGGUGCACAAUAGCACAGCUAUCAAGAGAGAAAUGAACUCUAUCAUGGUACCUUGGUUUGUAAAAGCAAAAUUGAGUAUCAGCAGGAGUAGCAAGCUCUGUACAUCAUAAUAUACUGAUGAAAUAGUGAGGAGAGAGAAGAAGGAGAUGUAUAGGAAAAGAAGCUUAACAUUAAGUAUAAAAUUGUAGAUAUUGUACCAAAAAUAUUAUUCUAUUAUAAUUGAAAGUAUGAAAUUGUAAGUGCUAUUGUAUCAAAAAUAUUAGUUGGUCAUUUCAUUAUAAUUUUUAUUCAACUUGGUCCAAAAGAAUAUCAUUUCAUGUAUGUCUAUAUAAUGAAGAAUUCAUUUUUUGAAACUUUUUAUAUAUGUUAUAUAUUAAAAUUUCGAAUC